UUUGGCAUCAACUUGAUGAAAUGCACACUUUAUCAAUUGUUAGACGCUAGAAGUUGCAUUUUACUUAUCAACUUUGGUGGGUGCAAAAGUAAAGCAAAAGGAUUUUUUUUGUCGUUUUGCAGAUUGUGAUGCAUUUUUAUGUGUGAAUGGCGAAGCGACGCUUUUUUCGUGAAGUGGUAUGGAUUAGGAAAUCACAACAGCAUAUAACGCAAAAUCCAAGAUCUGCGGUUUAUGAAAUCUGACAGUGCCUUAAGGAAAAUCUCGAUUGGAAAUGAAUUAGUUUGUUGAUGUAAAUUUGAUUAUCGUUGAAAGAAGGAAAGAAUAAUGUCUUUUCUUCUGCAAUUGUACUGUUCAGCCAUUGAUUUAUAAACCAACCAUCAACUUAAACAAAAUAA